UACGUAGGGUGCGAGCGUUAAUCGGAAUUACUGGGCGUAAAGCGUGCGCAGGCGGUUUUGUAAGUCAGAUGUGAAAUCCCCGGGCUUAACCUGGGAACUGCGUUUGAAACUACAAGGCUAGAGUGUGGCAGAGGGGGGUGGAAUUCCGCGUGUAGCAGUGAAAUGCGUAGAGAUGUGGAGGAAUACCGAUGGCGAAGGCAGCCCCCUGGGAUGAUACUGACGCUCAUGCACGAAAGCGUGGGGAGCAAACAGG
rnacentral:rRNA from 1 species